rnacentral:rRNA from 1 species
AGAGUUUGAUCCUGGCUCAGAAUGAACGCUGGCGGCGUGCUUAACACAUGCAAGUCGUACGAGAAAUCCUCUGCUUGCAGGGGAGAGUAAAGUGGCGCACGGGUGAGUAUCGCGUGGGUAAUCUACCCUUGAAUUCAGGAUAACAUUUCGAAAGGGGUGCUAAUACUGGAUAACAUCCUGAUGGUUUCGGCCAUAAGGAUCAAAGAUAGCCUCUACAUGUAAGCUAUAGUUCAGGGAUGAGCCCGCGUACCAUUAGCUAGUUGGUGGGGUAAGAGCCUACCAAGGCAACGAUGGUUAGCUGGUCUGAGAGGAUGAUCAGCCACACUGGAACUGAAACACGGUCCAGACUCCUACGGGAGGCAGCAGUGAGGAAUUUUGCGCAAUGGGGGAAACCCUGACGCAGCAACGCCGCGUGAGUGAAGAAGGCUUUCGGGUCGUAAAGCUCUGUCAAGAGGGAAGAAAGUGGGAGAUGGUAAUACUGUUUUCUAUUGACGGUACCUCUGAAGGAAGCACCGGCUAACUCCGUGCCAGCAGCC